AAUGAACGUUGGCGGUGUGCUUAACACAUGCAAGUCGAGCGAGAAAGUUUCUUCGGAAAUAAGUAGAGCGGCGAACGGGUGAGUAACGCGUGAGGAUCUACCCUUCAGUGAAGGAUACCCUUGAGAAAUUAAGGUUAAUACUGCAUACGUCCCUUUGUAAACAAAAGGGAGAAAGAUGGCCUCUUGCUGUCGCUGAAAGAUGAACUUGCGUUCUAUUAGCUAGUUGGUGGGGUAAAGGCNCACCAAGGCGAUGAUGGAUAGCCGGCCUGAGAGGGUGAACGGCCACAUUGGAACUGAGAAACGGUCCAGACUCCUACGGGAGGCAGCAGUGAGGAAUAUUGCACAAUGGGCGAAAGCCUGAUGCAGCGACACCGCGUGAAGGAUGAAGGUCUUAGGAUU
rnacentral:rRNA from 1 species